ACGUGACGCCGGUGCCAGGCGAACAUGGCGGCGGCCACUGGACCGUUGUUUUGGCUGGGGAAGGAAACCCUGAAGGUGCCUGCCACUGGUGCUCUUUGCCUUGAACCGGCAGCGCCUCUGUGCGCGGCUGCGGAAGAACCCUGCUGUGCAGGCCGCCUCAGUGGUGGUGCGGCCGGGAGGCACCUACACCGGAUCCUCUUUCGCCAGGAGUCCUUCUUUCACUGGGUGUUCGGUGUCACCGAGCCAGGCUGCUACGGCGUCAUCGACGCUGACACUGGGAAGUCGGCCCUGUUUGUGCCCAGGCUUCCUGCCAGCCAUGCCACCUGGAUGGGAAAGAUCCAUUCCAAGGAGCACUUCAAGGAGAAGUAUGCCGUGGACGACGUCCAGGACGCAGAUGAGAUUGCCAGUGUCCUGACGUCACUCCUCCUCACUUUGCAUGGCGUCAACACGGACAGCAGCAGCGUCUGCAGGGAGGCCUCCUUCGAGGGCAUCAGCAAGUUCAAAGUCAGCAACACCAUUCUUCACCCAGAGAUCGUUGAGUGCCAAGUGUUUAAGACGGACAUGGAGCUGGAGGUUCUGCUCUACACCAAUAAAAUCUCCAGUGAGGCCCACCGUGAGAGGACAUUUGCCAAUGACUAAAGAUAUCUUUUAUCAUGACAACUGGGAGUAUGUCACUGGCAUCUAAAGGACAGAGGCUGGAGACACUGCUAAACAUUGAUGAUUGAUUUCUAUAAUUAUAUGGAAGCAUGUGAAAACCCUACUCUUUCCAAGGAUCUGACCAACAAUUACCGCAGGAAAUGUGGUCACCUAAUUUAACUCUUAAACAUCAUCAGCAAGACUAACAGCUUGGAUGCAUCCCAAUUAUUCCCAGAAAUCAAUGGUGUGGUAUCAAGAAUAAUCGAAAACACUUCCACUUAGCUUCGGGAUUCAUUAUAUUUUUUGGUUUACUGUAGAUUCCAAUUAACAUUUUGGUUUAUUCAGGCUGAUUUUAAAAUAUGUUGUCUUAAUUACAUACUCAAACCAGCUAGUCUACAAAUAUGCCUCGUUAGAUAAAAGAGAUAAUAUCCUUGAAUUUGACAUAGUCCUUAAAUUUCUAAGGACUGGUUUACACUGAGACCUAGUUACGUGGUCAUAUGGUUUAGCUGUGUCCCCACCCAAAUCUCAUCUUGAAUUAUAGCUCCCAUAAU